rnacentral:rRNA from 1 species
UCGGGAAUUUUGGGCAAUGGGGGAAACCCUGAUGCAGCGACGCCACGUGAACGAAGAAGGUAUUCGUAUCGUAAAGUUCUGUCCUAUGGGAAGAUAAUGACAGUACCAUAGAAGAAAGCUCCGGCUAAAUACGUGCCAGCAGCCGCGGUAAUACGUAUGGAGCGAGCGUUGUCCGGAAUUAUUGGGCGUAAAGGGUACGCAGGCGGUUUAAUAAGUCGAAUGUUAAAGAUCGGGGCUCAACCCCGUAAAGCAUUGGAAACUGAUAAACUUGAGUAGUGGAGAGGAAAGUGGAAUUCCUAGUGUAGUGGUGAAAUACGUAGAUAUUAGGAGGAACACCUGAGGCGAAGGCGGGUUGCUGGGCUGAUACUGACGCUGAGGCGCGAAAGCUAGGGUAGCAAACGGGAUUAGAUACCCCCGUAGUCCCUGAGCGGGCUGGCAAGGCGCAU